rnacentral:lncRNA from 1 species
ACAUCUGGCUUUGAUACUUUCUAGUUAUGUGACCUCUGAAUCUCAGCAUUCCACCAAGACAAUCUUCAAAAAAGGAAAAGCAAAUGAGCAGGGCUGUUUCUGAGGAUAUGAAAUACUUUACAAUUAAAUAAGGAAGAAGAGGAAACAUUCCAGACAGAAGCAAUCUCUUACUGCAAGAGAAUAAGAAGUAAUAAGAAUUUUCAUCAUUUGAAAUGCAGCCAUGUGGCAAUUUUAUCCAUCCAGAACAACUGACAUACAGUAAAUACUUAACAUGUAGCAGAUUCUGCUGUGUUUUUUGAUGUCUUGUUAUAUUAAAUCUCUUCAACCACACUAUGAGAUUCCAUUCCCUUACCUGUGAAGUGCAGAUGGGUGUGUGGUUGCUGAGGUGCUGUCCAGCUUGGACAUCUAGGAAUUGUAUGAGCACCUUUGAUUGCCUUGCAUGCAGAAACAACUCUGAACCCAGAAGUGUUACUUAGAUUUCAAAGAAAAGGGAGGCAGAGAGGAAGAUGGUAGUCAGGACAAGACCAGAACAAAACAAGCGGCCCUAUGUUUAAGUUUUGCUGACACCACUCCAG